GCUUAGACAACCAGGAUGUUGGCUUAGAAGCAGCCACCAUUGAAAGAGUGCGUAAUAGCUCACUGGUCGAGUGACCCCGCGCCGAAAAUGUACCGGGGCUAAACAUAUUACCGAAACUGUGGAUGAACCUCUUUAGAGGUUCGUGGUAGGAGAGCGUUCUAAGGGCGGUGAAGUCAGACCGGAAGGACUGGUGGAGCGCUUAGAAGUGAGAAUGCCGGUAUGAGUAGCGAAAGAAGGGUGAGAAUCCCUUCCACCGAAUAUCUAAGGUUUCCUGAGGAAGGCUCGUCCGCUCAGGGUUAGUCGGGACCUAAGCCGAGGCCGAUAGGCGUAGGCGAUGGACAACAGGUAGAGAUUCCUGUACCAGUGCUAAUUGUUUAACCGAUGGGGUGACACAGAAGGAUAGGGAAUCGCACGAAUGGAAAUGUGCGUCCAAGCAGUGAGUGUGAG
rnacentral:rRNA from 1 species